CCCCCGGCGAUCAGCGUGCUGACUGUUCUGCCUGAUUGGGACAUAGGCUCCCUCCACCUCCAAACUCUACUCCUGUCCUGUAAAGGUCGGACUUACCUGUGAAAAAGGCAAAGAGGAAGUGGGACCCUUGCGUUGUUCCAGCUGCUUCCUAGCCAAGCCCAGCAUCACCCUCUGUUCGGCCAACUGACCUAGAUUGGCCUCAGCCAUUCCUCUGAGCCUGCCCCUGCCAAAGAUCACUGGUGAUUUCCUCAUGGCUAACUCUAGGCGUCACAUCUCAGCCCUUAUCUUACUUGCCUCUUCAAAAAAAUAUUUGACAUGUUGACCUUUCUUCGUUGUUUUCCGUAAUUCGUGCUUCUCCUGGCUUUCCUCCCUCUGAGUCCUCUUCUCUAUCCCCUUUGCACUUGCCCCUUUCGCUGCCAUCUCAAGUUCUGGUGUUACUGAUGGAUCUGUCUUCCUAUUGCCUUUGUUCAGGCCUCUGCUGAGAUCCUGAAUUACAUCAGUAGCACCCUUACUAGCAUGUCAGUUAUCCUGCCUGUUUGACUGCCCUCCAUUCUUCAUACUGUAGCCAGUCAGGCUGCUGACAUUUCUUUAGUGGAACCACACUCAUCUUAAGAUAAAGUAGAAACUCUUGUAAAGAGUUUUUUUUCCCUCAGGCUCCAUCUUUCAUCAACAUUCCUCCUCCUCCCUUUACCUUCUGCCUUACCCCGAUUCCUUGGCUUCUUUCAGAUCCUAGACUUGACCGUGACCUUGGGAUUUAGUUUGCAUCGCAUUGUUUCCACCUGGAAUGAUUUCUCCCUACCUCUUCCCUGCUAUGCCCAGGACUCACUUUAGAAGUUACUUUCUGAAGAAAGGCUUCCUUCCUCUCCUUUCAAGUUGCCUCUCUAAUGUAGGUUUGCAAGGUAAAAGACAGGAUACUCAACUAAAUUUGAGGUUCAGAUGAAUAACAAAUAAUUUGUAGUAUAACCAUGUCCUAUGCAGUAUUUGGCAUCCUGUAUUUUUAUUUGCUAAGUCUGGCAACACUGCUCCAGCAUGCUCCCUUCGUAGUCAGUACCUUUCCUCUGACAGCUCUUAUCACAUAUUCCAUGUGGGCUGGUCUUUCUUGUUCACUGUUUAAAUUUCUUUGCCUAGCACAGUGCCUAAAAUAUAAUAGAGAUUUGGUAAAUAAAUAAUGGAAUAUUCUAGGGGAAUCGUGAAUAGCUGCUUGAUAUUCCUGGAGGAACUUUCUUCCAUAAAACAGAAGUACUGAUGAAAUAUGCUCUUUGAAAUGUUAGUUUAAUCUUUCGUAUUUUUACUUGUGACUUUGUGAAAGAAGCAUGUCUAUAACUUUGUCUAGGUAGAACAAUAAAAAUUGUUUUUGGAAAAAUAUGAGAACCUGUAUUUUAUAUUUUGGAGCUUUGUUUGUAUUGGAGGUUUUUGGGGUGAGUGCAGUGAGAAGUUAAGAGAACUCUCCAUCCUUAUUAUGACCAGACUCUUCCUCUCUGAUCCCUUUCAGAAUCUUUCUACUACUUGACUUUAUUUAUUUACUUCAGUGGCAGAGUUAAGGGCUAAUAAGUCAGUAAGUAUUAAGAACCUUCUGCUUUCAUAUAAUAAACUCUUUAAGCUUCCUCCAGUUAACCUCAGUCUCCUGGCUGCUUGCAAGAUCUUUUCCAGAUACCCUCACUAUUUUUUCUCAUCUUGUCGGAGUAGAUAUGGACCAACAAGGAAGAAAUUAAAGUACACCUACGCAUGGAGUUGCACAUGAAAGAAACAGAUCAAUUGCAAAUCUUGUAAUUUGGAAUGUGUGCCCCGGGUCACUUUCUAUUUGGAGCUCAUUUUUAAAAAUCACUUUUGGAGACAGAACUGAAUAGAUAUUUCUUCCAAAGAGGAAAUGCAGGUGGCCAAUUGGCGCAUGAAAAGAUGCUCAACAUCACUAAUCAUCAGGGAAAUGCAAAUCAACACCACAAUGAGAUAUCACCUCACACCGGUCAGAGUGGCCAUCAUCAAAGAGAACACAAAUAAUAACUGUUGGUGAGCAUGUGGAGAAAAGGGAACCCUGGUGCACUUUUGUUGGGACUGUAAAUUGGUGCAGCCACUGUGGAAAACAGUAUGGAGGUCUCUCCAAAAACUAAAAAUAGAACUACGAUAUGACACAACAAUUCCACUCCUGGGCAUAUAUCUGAAAAAAAAAAUAAAAACAACACGAAGUCAAGAAGGUGCAUGCACCCCACUGUUCAUAGAAGCAUUAUUUACAGUUGCCAAGAUACGGAAACAUCCUGAGUAUCCAUCAACAGAUGAAUGAAUAAAGAAGAUGUGAGAUACAGACAUAUAGAAAUACACACACACACAAUGCCAUACUACUCAGCCAUAAAAAAGAGUGAAAUGUUGCCAUUUGCAGCAACGUGUAUUGACUUGGAGGGCAUUAAUGAAAUAAUGAAAUUUAAUGAAAUACAUUAAAUGAAAUAAAUCAGACAGAAAA